ACUCUAGUACAGGAAGCCACUGUAGAGUGAGAGGAGGGCGCAGUCCUCCACAGCCACCAUGCUCCGAAGCCAGGGUCAUUCAGUUCCCUGACCUGGGUUAGCUGCUGCCUCCCGGGGCCACCAUGAUGAGACAAAAGUCCUGGGUCUGGGUGGCCCAGUGACCCCAGCAUGUGAGCGGGCUCUUUACCUGCUCCCACGAACCCCAAGAACGUCAGGAUGAGGAGCGGGGACCCACUGGCAAAGACGCCCAGGACGAAGCUGAAGAGGGGAGAGAGGAGGAUGGUGGCCCAGCACAGGAAGUUCAGAAGGGUCCACGGCCUUCGGGCGGGCUUGAUCUGUUCCCCUGGGAAUACACCCUUCUGCUUGUACAUCUCUUGCAGGGCAUCCUGAGAGUGAAGGGGAGAGGACCAAGUUGAGAUCCACAAGUACGACUGACUCAGGAGAAAACUCAGCAAUAAAAGGGCACAGAACGAAGCAGCAUUGCCCAGUGCGGGUGGGAGGAGCACUUCCUCGGAGGUCCUUCAUUUGCUUGUAUCCGGACCCAGGAAAUGGGUUAGCUAGGAUACGGCCAGCCAAGCAAGCAAAGCUGCCAGGGGUCAUAACUGGCAAAUGGCUGGCUGGUACAGACCCCAGCAUUUAUCAAAGGACAGCCAAAGGGUUCUGGGCCUGGCCACAGUCCACACCCCUACAGUCAUCUGUGUGCCCCCUGCAAGGCUUUUCAUCUCUCCUACCGUGGCAUCCAGGGACAAACUCAGGACAGCGGCUUGCAUGGUUGAUGUGGGACUCUCCACAUAAUUGGUGCUGUCCUUAAACUUCUGGUCCUUUAGGGCCAGGAUGCUGGAAUCGCACAGGCAUAAACUACUACCCGGCUACAUUUUCUUCUUGAGAGGUAUACUAUCCCAGGAUUGCUCUGCUAAGACUUCUAAUGCUAUGCUGGGUAAGUACAAC